GUUAUUCACUUCACCUGUCAGUGGUUUUAAGGUUAAAGCUGAUCUGUGUGUGCCUUUGGUUUUCAUUUUGAGCUGUUUUUUGCUUUUACACAUUGUGUGCACACAUAUGGACCAAAACAUCCUUUCUUUGUUUUAAAAGGACAAUCUAGGUACCAUAGCCACUUCAGCUCAUUGGAAUAGAUAUGCAGGUAGGAGUCUCUUCCUACUGGUUUUAAUCGUUUUAACAUAUUUACAUGAAAGUCACCAGGCACUCGUUGUUCUGGAAUGUAAAUUAAUUAAUGUGGAUAAGCCAUAUUAUUCCAAAUCAGUUAUGGGUGGCAAUGAUGGUCUGGGUGGCAACUACAGCUUCUAAUUGCAAAGCAUCACUCCAAGCAUAAGAGAGAGAGUGGGCUGUGACCGCCCAAGUAAGCUCAUUUACUUUGGACAGUGGGAUGACACCAG